UACUACAGUCGUUAGCUUGGUGAAUUGAAUUGGCUGGCUAGCUAACAAACUAAGUAGCCAUCUAACUAAAGGCAACUGUUUUACAGGAAACAAACAAAUAUGAGAGUAUGCACGCACUUGACACAGCAGGUAAUGCGGAAAAACCACCCGGCCAAUCGCGGACAGAAAGCCAAGUUUAUCACCCGAGGGAAGACACAGAUUUCCAAACCAAGAUUCUUGCAUUGUUACUACAUAAAAGCUUUGUACCUGUUGAAAGAAAAGAUGCCUUAGAUUUAGAUUUGGCCAACAGACUUGCCGAACUGGAACAGCUGGAGGAUUUACAACAAGGAAAAGGGCUGUCAUCUCAAGCAUUAGUGGAAGACAAGCCAGUACAAAGAAAAAGGAAUGAGCCUUGUUUCUGGAAGUACUGCGUGUGACCACGCCUACCACGGCAGCUUCCUCCAAUGACACAAUCACAUGAACACAACUCGGCAAUCGUUGAUAUGUAUUGUAAUAAUGUAGCCUUCUCAUUACAUCACAUUUACAUAGCCUCUGUGCUGUUUUCUGAACCAGAGACAGCCUGGUGGUUAGAGCAUGUAUCUACUAACCAAAACCGCUGCUAGAUCAAAUUUCUGGGCUGGCAAGGUGAGAAAUCUGUAAUUCUGUCCUUGAGCGAGACAAUUAACCUUAAGUGCUCCUGUUGGUCACGCUGGAUAAGAGCGUCUGCAAAAUGACUAAAAUGAAAAUGACUGAAUAAGUCUGUGACACCAAGGUUUUGGGAGAAGGACUGACUUGAUGUCCGGCCCUCUCCGGUGAUUCAACCAAUCGCAUCAGUUCUAAUAUCGGUCUCCCAAGUCAUGAUUGAGUGAAACUUUUACUUUGACAGUCCGGCUAACAUCAGGGUGCGCUUGAGUGUCUGUGUUGUGUUGCUAAUGUAUAUCACCUGAAACAACUAAUCAUCUGUUUGGAAGGUACUGUAUCAGAUGUUACUGAAGGAUAAUUGAUGGGACAAGGUCCUGCUAGUGUGUCUGCUGACACCCAAGGCUAAAUCCCCUUGUCAAUAGGUUGAGUUUGUCUCCAUCUAGUGUUAAAUGGAGGUAGUGACAAGACAUGCAACUUUCACAUAGUGAAUGAGGAUAAUUUUGAACAUGGUUAUAACUCAGUCGAAGACCCAAACUCAAAAUAAUCAUGUAUUAAUACGAUAAAUUCAGCAUGUCGCAGUACGAUAAAUACAGUGUGAUAAAUAUUUACCAAUACAUUAAAUAUAUACCAGUGUGAUAAAUGUAUACCUGUAUGAUAAAUACAGGAUUUACUGUAAGUCCAGAUAAAUAUGUAUCUUUUGCAUCCCUACUUGAGUAAAGAAGGGUAAUACAUACAGUGAUGUAUUAUUAUAACAGGUCUCCACACCUGUUAUAAUGCCAGGUUCUUGUGAUGUAAUAGAAUGAGACAA